CUUGAAACACACCCGGCGAUUACAAGGUACAGCUGGGACCACUCGACACGAUGGGCUGACAACAACCGCGGGAGUGGCGUCUUCUCAUUUUAAAAAGUGCCAGAAGAUAUAUAAUGAAUUUUACCACACCGGAGAUUGGACUGUUAAUAUUACCCCUGAGGAAGUCCGAACUUUUGGCGGACCAAGCGCGUAGGGUUGGGCCAC